GCAGGAGUGGGGCAAGGGUUUUUCCUUGUAAACAACAAUAUGAUGAGGAUCCAGUAGGCUCCAGCAGAUGCCUGCGAACCAGUGUUCUUGUAUUUGGUUGUCGUUAGCAGCUGCCUAACUCCAGAUCACAAACCAGAUCAGGAGAUAACAAUUGAGGAUGUAAGCAAAUUUUUGAAUGCCACGGAAGAGCCUAGCUGAACUCCAUCAUUGUCAAACAAUAUCAGUUCGACAUACGACCUAUGACACAGAGGUAACAGUGGUGACAAAUCAUGUGAAGUAAGGACUAUUGCAAGACUUUGCAGCUGGAACGUUAUGAGUGUGGAUACAGGCGAGUGCGCAGCAGCCAUGUUAGUGUACUUAACCACAAGGUUCCGGACGAUUCUUGAUCAUAAAGGGUCACAGACUGUUGAAGCGAGAAGUGUCGAAGCUGCAAUUCCAGCACAGUUUCAACUUCUUUUUGAUUUUACAAUACUUUAAAAUUCAAUAACGUUUUUGUCGUCGUAGCUUUGAAUCAUGUGAGACCAAGUCCGUGCACACUCAUGGUCUCCAAGAGCUUUCUAACAAUACCAAAUAUGGCUCUAGUCACAAGUGAUCUAAAACUUGUGAUUAACCAAAUAAACAACAAACAAAUAUACACCAAA